GGGCAGCUGGGAAUCCGGAAUGCUCCCCGAUGGCCCUGGGUUCUCGCUGUGGGGCAAUCAGGGCUUGCAGGCGAGGUAAGGUCGACUCCAUUUGGCCCGGGGAUGGUGACACGGGCCGGGGCCGGGGCUGCAGUCGCCGCCACGGCUGUUGUCGCGUUGCUCUCGGCCGCACUCGCGCUGUACGGGCCACCACUGGACUCAGUUUUAGAAAGAGCAUUUUCGCUACAUAAAGUACAUUCAGUAAAGGAUAUGGAAAAUACUUUGCAGCUGGUGAGAAAUAUUAUACCUCCUCUGUCUUCCACAAAGCACAAAGGACAAGAUGGAAGAAUAGGCGUAGUUGGAGGCUGUCAGGAGUACACUGGAGCCCCAUAUUUUGCAGCAAUCUCAGCUCUCAAAGUGGGCGCAGAUUUGUCCCACGUGUUCUGCGCCAGUGCGGCCGCGCCUGUGAUUAAGGCCUACAGCCCGGAGCUGAUCGUCCACCCAGUUCUCGACAGCCCCAAUGCUGUUCAUGAGGUGGAGAAGUGGCUCCCCCGGCUGCACGCUCUUGUUGUAGGACCUGGCUUGGGUAGAGAUGAUGCACUUCUCAGAAAUGUCCAGGGCAUUUUGGAAGCAUCAAAGGCCAGGGACAUCCCUGUCGUCAUCGACGCGGACGGCCUGUGGCUGGUCGCUCAGCAGCCAGCCCUCAUCCAAGGCUACCAGAAGGCGGUCCUCACUCCCAACCACAUGGAGUUCAGCAGACUGUAUGAUGCUGUGCUCAGAGGCCCUGUGGACAGUGAUGACCGCCAUGGAUCUGUGCUGAGACUCAGCCGGGCCCUGGGCAAUGUGACGGUGGUCCAGAAAGGAGAGCGCGACAUCCUCUCCAAUGGCCAGCAGGUGCUUGUGUGCAGCCAGGAAGGCAGCAGCCGCAGGUGUGGAGGGCAAGGAGACCUCCUGUCGGGCUCCCUGGGUGUCCUGGUACACUGGGCGCUCCUUGCUGGACCGGAGAAAACAAAUGGGUCCAGCCCUCUCCUGGUGGCUGCAUUCGGUGCCUGCUCUCUCACCAGGCAGUGCAACCACCAAGCCUUCCAGAAGCACGGUCGCUCCACCACCACCUCCGACAUGAUCGCCGAGGUGGGGGCCGCCUUCAGCAAGCUCUUCGAAACCUGAGCCCACGCAGACCAGAAGGAAGUAGGCACCUCGGACGGGGGAGAGCGUGUGUGUGAUGGGAAAAUCCGGACCGACGUGUGUGCUGAAGGCGCACAGUGCUUGCCAGAUUUUCAACUCGAGCAUAAAUUGGUUGCUGUUGAGAAUUUAAGAAUUUGGAAUAUUGCAGUUUUUGGCUAAACUUAAUGCGUGGUUGGAGAUGUUAUGGUGACACUAAACAAAGUAUUCCUGAACUCUCCUUAGCUCCUUGGUAGUAACUGAGAAGACAGAAAUGAAGCAAAUCACAUGAGAAUGAAGAAUUCUUUAGCAGCUCAACGGAAUUUCUCGACCUGCUCCCAAAUCAGCGAGGUUUCUACUUGUUUCUCUUUCUGCCAACGCCCCUCAUUUCUCUCCUGCUUCCCUUCCCUAGUCUUUCCCCCAGCAGGGAGCCGGGCAUGGGUCCCCGGGUGUCUCCCUGCGUCCUGACUGCACUGACUGCGUUUCCUCUGACUGGGUCCAUCAGGGCUCUUCCUUCUCCAGCUCAUCGUCUUUUCAAGUGGUGAUCAGCUUGGUGGUAUCUGGCUGCUGGUAUUUGGUUGGCUUAUUGACAUACUCCAGGGUAAUCAGUGAUCACUUUGUUUGGAAACCGUUUUGGAGGCACCAUGGGAACAGAAGGAAACAUGAGUGACGCCGACCCUUGAGUGGGUGGGCGGGGAGCUCAGACGCCUCCUCUCCCUCGCUCUCCAGUGUCCGUGUCUGCACAGAGGUCCCCAUGACACUCACCAGCCCCAGCAGGGCAGACCUGACCGGGGACGGGCGCCGUGGAGGGCUGCAGCCUGGAAUCUGACGUGGCCCCUAGUGCUGUCUCAGGAGAAGGCUCUGGGGGACUUGGGGCAUGCUGGGCCUGGUGCAGCGAUGGCACUAAGGAGACCCGGGGAAAGACAGUGUCGUGGUCAUGUAUGCUUAGGAAGCAGCAUGGCCGUGUCCUCAGGGAUGUUCGUGUCCAGUAAAGACACUAGUAACUGCAACUUCAGUAAACACGCUUCAUGGCGGUGUCGACCUCGGGUUAGCUUGUUUGUAUGGGUGGUUUUCCUGGAGCAGCCUGACACAUGUUCUCUGGUGCCAUGGCUUAGUGGGGCUUGGUACGGUUUUGUGCCUGACGCGUGCACUUGGGUGUUCUCUUAUACUUUCUGUAACGCCUUUCCACUGCAAGGGCCAAACCCUCCUGGUUCCCUUCAGAGUCUUUUUGGCCUGAUGAUGACUCUUGAGUGAUACCCUGUGAUGUAGACACGCCCCAAAUGGAUUCUACUGUCUUUAAAACUAGGAACUUUGAAGAUUAAAAAAUAGAUUGUCACUACUAAUUUGACACCUAACUUCAGAAGCUUCACUGUCUAAUGUGAACUUUUCCAGAAAAACUGUGCCAUGGACAUUCUUCCUUUGGGGAAUUAACAUCCAGAUUCUGGUGAGGAUAUUGUGAGCUACCGGGGAGAUAAAAGUAUACAAGCCUGUCUGUGUGAGACUGCCCUCACUGCCAGCGCCUCUCUCCCAUGAUGGCUGCGAUAAAGCGCCUUGAAGGAUAAGCCCAAGGCAGCCCCUUCUUUCCUUAGGAAAUAUGAUUCAGCAGUCACAGGAACUAUCUGUAUGGUUUUUAUGACUAAAUUUUUGUUCUAAGUAAAACAUCCCUUUACUUAAAGGAGAGAAUGGGUUUUUUAUGAUCAGCUCAUUGCUUCCCUGUUCUUUCUCAAAUGCAUGUAUUUCGUGCACUCGCUCCAGCCGGACAGGCUCCCAGGAGCUUCCCUGGACCAGAAGAGCCAACGGGGAAGUGUGUGCGGGUGGGUGGGUGGCCUGUGAGGCAGUGGCCUGGCUGUGGGGGACAGAGUGCCCCAGCACUGAGCACUGAGCAGCUCUGUGGAGAUGCCUCAUUGUAAGGAGCCGCCUGGGGACUUUUUCCAUGUGGGUAGCUUUACUAGCGUUGAUUUUCUAGGUGAGUGACUUCUGAACCUGCAUUCUUCUCUAGACAGGAGACCUGUGCCUCAGGUUAAACGAUGAGCAAGGCUGUACCCCCAGUCACAGGUCCUGCUGCUGCCUGUGCCCGUGGGAUUGAGAUGCCAGUGCACCAGGUAGAGGCCUGGCCCAGGCUCUGGGAGCGGGAAGAGUGGAGAGGGUCACCCUGCUGAGUCACUGACAACUGUGGUGCUGGGCUUACUACAGAAAGGUGAGAUCAGGAGCAAGGCAGGUGCUUCAGGAGGCCACUGCUCCUGCAGCCCAGGCAGCCUGCUGUGCACUGGCCGCCACCACCUCCCGCUCAGGAAUCCUGUCUGUCACACCUCGCCAGCUGGCUUUCAGCCUGGCUGCCCUGACUCCUCCAGAACCAACCUUUCCCAGGCCCAGCUCGACCCUGUCACUGCUGUGCUCAGACCAUGACCACCAAGAUGGCCUGCGGCUGUCAGGAUGUUAACUGCAACGGGACUGCAGACAGGUUCUCAGCUGCACUUUUUCUAUGGUGAAUAUGUUACUUUUGUAACCACAGAAAUAAACUAAGAUUGUGUUCUUGCUGGGGGAGGGGUGUCCCAGAGUUAGCAUGGCCUGGCAUCCCUGCUCUGCCUGACUGUGCUGC